CGCCUCUUGACUAAAUAUAAGAGGUCCAGCCUGCCCAGUGACUAAUGUUCAACGGCCGCGGUAUCCUAACCGUGCAAAGGUAGCGUAAUCACUUGUUCUUUAAAUGGGGACUUGUAUGAAUGGCAUCACGAGGGUUAUACUGUCUCCUUUUUCUAAUCAGUGAAUCUAAUCUCCCCGUGAAGAAACGGGGAUACAACUAUAAGACGAGAAGACCCUAUGGAGCUUUAAAUACCUCUUCAAACGUUGGACCUUCCCCCCCAGUUUUUAACUCACUUAUAUUAACCCUGAACGCCAUGAAGACAACUUUUAGGUUGGGGUGACCGCGGAGAACAACAAAACCUCCACGCUGAAUCAGACUUUCUAAGCCUGAACUAAGAGCCACCGCUCAAUGCACUAAAAAAUUAACAUCUAUUGACCCAAUACAUCACUUGAUCAACGAACCAAGUUACCCUAGGGAUAACAGCGCAAUCCAUUUCAAGAGUCCAUAUCGACAAGUGGGUUUACGACCUCGAUGUUGGAUCAGGGUAUCCCAGUGGUGCAGCCGCUACUAAUGGUUCGUUUGUUCAACGAUUAAAACCC
rnacentral:rRNA from 1 species